AUUAAAGCAUGAUAAUUCCCUUGAAUAUGUUUGAAUGUUCUUAUGUGUUCUUCACAUGUUCUUAGUUGUUCAUCACAUGUUCAUGCAUAUCACUAGAUUUAAUCUUAAAUCCACAUCAAAAAUAUGAAAAACAUGUUUGUUUAGUAAUUCUUUCAAAUCCUUGAAUCUAGGUUAUCACUAUCCACACACAUUCACUAGAGUUUAUUUUUCAAUCCAAAUGUCAUGCUUAAUAAAUUGAAUUAGAUUUUAUCAUAUACACACACAUUAAAUUCAACAUACAAAUUGAUUGACAUAUUGGAUGAUGUGAUUUGAAUGUUGGCCACCGUAGUCUAGAAAACCGAUUUCACCGAGCAAGGUGGGUGCCUAACACCUUCCCACCUUGUAACAUAGCCUCCGAGCUUAGAUCAAGGGUUAGUAGAUCAAAUGUUUAUCCAUGUAAUUUUUUAUUUUUAGAUUGUAACUAGGAAACAAAGCCAUGUACUUUAUCUUAGAUUGUAUCUAGGACCAAAGUCAUGUAAUUUUCCUAUGAUCAAUGUAAAUUCAAUUUCAAAUUAAUAAAAUGAGGAAUUUUUCAUUCA